rnacentral:misc_RNA from 1 species
GAUGAAGAACGUAGCGAAAUGCGAUAAGUAAUGUGAAUUGCAGAAUUCAGUGAAUCAUCGAAUCUUUGAACGCAUCUUGCGCUCCUUGGUAUUCCUUGGAGCAUGCCUGUUUGAGUAUCAUGAGCAAAUCUCAAAGUCAAUUCCUUUUGUUGAUUCAAUUGGUUUUGCUUUGGACUUGGAGGCCUUGCAGAUUUCACAGUCUGCUCCUCUUAAAUGCAUUAGCUGGAUCUCAGUAAUUAUGCUUGGUUACACUCGGCGUGAUAAGUAUCACUCGCUGAGGACACUGUUAAAAAGGUGGCCAGGAAAAUACUGAUUGAACCGCUUCUAACGGUCUAUUAAGUUAGACAAUUACCCUUAAGUUUGAUCUCAAAUCAGGUAGGACUACCCGCUGAACUUAAGCAUAUCAAUAAGCGGAGGA